rnacentral:rRNA from 1 species
GGGGAAUAUUGCACAAUGGAGGAAACUCUGAUGCAGCGACGCCGCGUGAGUGAAGAAGGUCUUCGGAUCGUAAAACUCUGUCCUUGGUGACGAAAAAAUGACGGUAGCCAAGGAGGAAGCCCCGGCUAACUACGUGCCAGCAGCCGCGGUAAUACGUAGGGGGCGAGCGUUGUCCGGAUUUACUGGGCGUAAGGGGUGAGUAGGCGGUAAUAUGUGUCAGAUGUAAAAGGCUAUGGCUUAACCAUAGUUGGCAUUUGAAACUGUAUUACUUGAGUGCAGGAGAGGUAAGUGGAAUUCCUAGUGUAGCGGUGAAAUGCGUAGAUAUUAGGAGGAACACCAGUGGCGAAGGCGACUUACUGGACUGUAACUGACGCUGAGUCACGAAAGCGUGGGUAGCAAACA